UCGGUUGAUGGAUGAGGAGGACGAAUGGAAUAUAUCAAAGAUUUUUUAUCCAUACCAGACAGACCUACGAUCCUUUGAAAUUGGUGAUGAUCGUAGUGCCCUCGAUAAGGUAUAUCCAAUGCAAAACAAUGCGUAUUCCAUGGUCAAUCAUUCCCAUUCAUAGCCGUUAAAUUGAAACUCUGGGAGAAUACUCAUAAGAUGCGAAACUGCCAUGUCUCAACCCUGUCUAUGGCAUGAUUAACUAUUUGCACACACAGGCCGCACAGCACUGCCACAGAUACCAUCAAUUGAUCGAUAAGCAUACACGGACAACCGACAAUGGGAAAUCAGCGAAAAUUCACAGAUAGGGAAACAAACGCUCAGUGUCGUUGCAGCAUUUGAAAUGCAAUGCAUAAUUGUUGAUGCCACGGAAAAUAUACGACAAAAAUAUAUGCAAUGGAAUUAUGUACAAUGUGGAGACAGUGCGGUGCUAAAGUCUGCAAAUGGCAAAUAAUAAUCCAUGACUGAAUACCAGAAUGCUAUCUAAAGAAAACACUGUGGACAUUAAGCUGCUCGUCUAAACAAAGAAAAAUAAGUACAAAUCUUCUUCAAUAUAUUCCGUCAUGUCCAGUCAAGCUGUUCUUUUAUGGCAGUUU